rnacentral:tmRNA from 1 species
GGGGACGAGUGGGUUCGACAGGGAAUUGAUCUUUAGGUUGCAGGUCGUGUUGNCAUACCACGUAUGAAAUGGCAAAAUAAUGAUUGGCGAUCAAGAAUACGCUCUCGCUGCUUAAUAUAAGUUAGUGACGUUCCUUAAUAUCUUUGCUUAGGGUGGUAUUAAGGAGCGACGUUAAACCUAAGCUGAGCAAGAUUAUUGCUAGUAUAGUCUUGCAAAUAAGUUUCUAGCUAAGCAAUUAUAGUUGGUUUGUCGAUGACGCCUUUAUUGACGAAAAUCAUUUAUCGACUAAGCCUGUAGAUGCUUAGAGAGUAAAUUUCUUGGACGGGGGGUUCAACUCCUCCCCGUCUCCACCA